rnacentral:rRNA from 1 species
UAUCUGGCGGCAUUAGCGCGGUGGUCCCACCUGAUCCCAUGCCGAACUCAGAAGUGAAACGCCGUAGCGCCGAUGGUAGUGUGGGGACACCCCAUGUGAGAGUAGGACACCGCCAGAUU